rnacentral:rRNA from 1 species
GAUGAACGCUGGCGGCGUGCUUAACACAUGCAAGUCGAACGAUGAAGCCCAGCUUGCUGGGUGGAUUAGUGGCGAACGGGUGAGUAACACGUGAGUAACCUGCCCUUAACUCUGGGAUAAGCCUGGGAAACUGGGUCUAAUACCGGAUAGGAGCGCCUACCGCAUGGUGGGUGUUGGAAAGAUUUAUCGGUUUUGGAUGGACUCGCGGCCUAUCAGCUUGUUGGUGAGGUAAUGGCUCACCAAGGCGACGACGGGUAGCCGGCCUGAGAGGGUGACCGGCCACACUGGGACUGAGACACGGCCCAGACUCCUACGGGAGGCAGCAGAGGGGAAUAUUGCACAAUGGGCGAAAGCCUGAUGCAGCGACGCCGCGUGAGGGAUGACGGCCUUCGGGUUGUAAACCUCUUUCAGUAGGGAAGAAGCGAAAGUGACGGUACCUGCAGAAGAAGCACCGGCUAACUACGUG